UACGUGGGUGGCAAGCGUUGUCCGGAUUUACUGGGCGUAAAGAGCGCGCAGGCGGUCGUUCAAGUCGCGUGUGAAAGCCCCCGGCUCAACUGGGGAGGGUCACGCAAUACUGAUCGACUCGAAGGCAGGAGAGGGUAGUGGAAUUCCCGGUGUAGUGGUGAAAUGCGUAGAUAUCGGGAGGAACACCAGUGGCGAAGGCGACUACCUGGCCUGUUUCUUGACGCUGAGGCGCGAAAGCUAGGGGAGCAAACGGG
rnacentral:rRNA from 1 species